rnacentral:rRNA from 1 species
UACUACUUGGAUAACCGUAGUAAUUCUAGAGCUAAUACAUGCAACAAANCCCUUUUGGNCUGCAUUUAUUANAUNGAAACCAAUGCAGGGUUNUCCCUGGCNUNGNGGUGAGUCAUAAUAACUAAGCGAAUCGCAAUGGCUUCGGCCNGCGAUGAAUCAUUCAAGUUUCUANGGGANNUAACCCANNGGCGUNAACGGGGGUAACGAAAAAAUUAAGGGGUUCGAAUUCCCGGAGAAGGAAGCCUUGAAAAGCGGCUUACCCACAUCCCAAAGGAAAGGCAAGCAGGCGCGGUAAAUUACCCAAUCCCUGAUACGGGGAAGGUAAGUGACAAUAAAUAACCAAUACGGGGCCCAUCGGGGUCUUGUAAUUGGAAUGAGUACAAUCUUAAAUCCCUUAACGAGGAUCAAUUGGAGGGCAAGUCUGGUGCCAGCAGCCGCGGUAAUUCCAGCUCCAAUAGCGUAUAUUAAAGUUGUUGCAGUUAAAAAGCUCGUAGUUGGAUUUCUGGUACGAGUGACCGUUCCGAACUUGAUUGUUCGUGUAUUGUGUUUUCUCCAGCCAUCCUUGUGGAGAACUUUUCUUGCAUUAAUUUGUAGGGAUUGGGANCCGCAUCGUUUACUGUGAAAAAAUUAGAGUGUUUAAAGCAGGCAAUCGCUUGAAUACAUUAGCAUGGAAUAAUAAGAUAGGACUUUGGUACUAUUUUGUUGGUUUGCAUACCAAAUUAAUGAUCAACAGGAACAGUUUGAGGAUAUUCGUAUGAACAUGUCAGAGGUGAAAUUCUUGGAUUUUGAUCAGACGAACUACUGCGAAAGCAUUUAUCAAGGAUGUUUUCAUUAAUCAAGAACGAAAGUUAGGGGAGUNAAGAUUAUU